UGAUGACUUUUUCCUCAUUUUUUGGUGAUUUUUUUUCCCCAAUUUUUGGUGAUUCUUUCCAGUUUUUGACAAUUUUCCUCCGAUUUUUCAGUGAUUUUCCCCCCAUUUUUUAGUGGGUUUUUUCCUCAAUUUCUGGUGAUUUUUUUUUUCCUCCUUAUUUUGGUGAUUUUCCUGCAUUUUUGGUGAUUUUCCCCCCAUUUUUGGACCAUAUUUUGACCGGUUUUAGCCAUUUUUUCACCAAUUUUUCCCAUUUUUUCACCAUUUUUCCCCAUUUUUUCACUGUUUUUCCCCAUUUUUCCCACAUUUUUUGUGGUCUCACCUGUGCAGCAGGAUCCUCCUGAGGCAGGCUGUCACUCAGGAUACAAUUCUCCCAUUUUGGGCCAUUUCCCCCCAUUUUUAUACAUUUUUUGGUCAUUUUUUCCCCGUUUUUCCCCAAUUUUUUCCCCAUUUUUUCCCCAUUUUUUGUGGUCUCACCUGUGCAGCAGGAUCCUCCUGAGGCAGCUGUCACCAGUUCUCACUCAGGAUACAAUUCUCCCAUUUUGGGCCAUUUCCUUUCCCUUUUUCCCCAUUUCCCCCCAUUUUUAGCCAUUUUUUGGUCAUUUUUUCCCCAUUUUUUCCCCAAUUUUUGGGGAUUUUUUCCCAUUUUCUCACUGUUUUUCCCCAUUUUCCCCCGUUUCCGGGCUCUCA
rnacentral:lncRNA from 12 species